UAGGGAAUCUUCCACAAUGGGCGAAAGCCUGAUGGAGCAACGCCGCGUGUGUGAUGAAGGGUUUCGGCUCGUAAAACACUGUUGUAAGAGAAGAAUGACAUUGAGAGUAACUGUUCAAUGCGUGACGGUAUCUUACCAGAAAGGAACGGCUAAAUACGUGCCAG
rnacentral:rRNA from 1 species